rnacentral:lncRNA from 1 species
AUACUCAUUCAUGACUUAGUCAUAUACGGGGUGUUCUAGAUAUGGUAGAAUGUGUAUGAAGAUUGUGAGUAGGUCAACAUGGAAUCGAUCACUCUUGGUAAAAAAAAAUUGCAUCCUACUUGUUCUGAUUGAUUGAUGAUUCAGGAAGUCUUUGAUCAAAGCAGAAUGAAAAUUAGAAAGAGUUUCUAAUAUUUUAUUAAUUGAAUCAUCAUAUAAGAUUGAGAGAAAUAUGAGUAUGAUAUUGGAUUUGACAUCAUUCCAUAUCCAGAGUCAUAUUUGGGGUGCAGGG